rnacentral:lncRNA from 1 species
ACGAAAUUGGGUGUUGACACUAUGCAUGCACCAAAUAUGACUUUUCUUAUUGCUUUUGUUAUUUUUUAGCGCUAAGCAUUUAAUGUCAUUUAAUGCUUGCUUAGAACAACAAAGUGUUUUUUUAUUUCCUACCGUUAGGUAGCAUUUUACAGUUAAGUUCUUUUAAUUGAAGAUACCAAAUGUAUAAAUACUUCAUCAAGAUGAGGUGUUUGUUUAGCUCAUGGUAUUGUUUUGAUCCAAGUAAACGCUUCUUUGGCUUUUGUCUCUUUUUAGAAAAAUUGUUUAGCUUGCUUAGGCUUUCUUAUGUGUUUUAAUAAUUAAGUAUUUUAAUUAUUUAGUUGAAGACAUUAUCUCAACCUUUUUUUUAGAGAAGCCAAAUACCUAAUCUAGGUAUUUUAAGCAUUGAGUGUUUAGCUCAAUUCUCUCUUGGACACCUUUAGACAAGACAUCGUCUAGUCAUGUGUCUAGGUAUUCUAGCCUAAGUGUUUUGCUAUGAUUCAUCCAAUCCCAUCACUACACAUAUUAUAUCUCCAACAAAAUCCAAAAACACUACACAUGUUUAUCAUGAUAUCUUUACAUCAUGGGUUGGCAUGGUAAAACCCCCAAUACCAUAACUUUGUUCUCCCUUAGCAUUAACUUUAUUAUGGGAUAACCCAACAAAAACAUACAUACAUAUAUAGGGAAAACCCAUCAGAAUAUGACAUAAACUCUAUCCUCAUGCAUACAAAAAUCCUUUCCCAACAACAACCAUAGAUAAUCAUAUCAAUAAUUAUGCACACAUACAUCAAAACUUGAAUUAACCAAUCAAGAUAAUUCAAAUUACAUGACAUACAACAAACAAACAAACAUAGGUUAGCUUUCCCAUACCUUGGCCAAUACUAUGAAUUUAUCUAUAACUUCAAACACCACCAAAUCUUCCUUUGCACUAAGAGUUUUUGUUGCUCCCUCUCGUUUUUUCCCAAAAACCACUUUCCUCUCUUUCUCUAUUUUCUCUCACUGAUUUAGAGUAUCUAGGGUUUCUAAAACACACAAUAUCAUCCCUCUCUUUACAUCUUAAUAUUUAUAAAUCAACCUAACUCUAUCUCUAAUAUCUCAUCAAUUUAAUGAUAUAUUUUAAAACCAAAUCUCUCUAUAUCUCUUUUCUCCUCUUUAUCUCAAUUCACUAUCCCUCUUUUUUAUGUUAUUUUAUUUAAUUCAUACCCCUUUUACUUCCUACAACCCCUUACUUAAUUUCUACACCAAUUAAAUAAAGUAAAAGACCAUUUUACCCCUAAGCAAAAAUAUAAAUAAAACAAAUGUUUCCCUUAACUUCCUUUUUCCCUAUAAUUGAACCUACACCCAUUUAAUCCUAAAUCAUCCUUUCAUUAACAAGCCAACACAUUACAUUGAUAAUAUCAUACCACACCAAUCACCCAAUUAAUAACAUAGUAAUCAUGUGUUGCACUUUAUUAAUAAUAACAUCAAAGAGUUAACAUAAGUAUGUUUUAACAAGAUAUUCACACAUUGUUAAGGGUCUGACAAGUGUAUCAGAUUGUAUCAAGUAAUAAUGAAACGGUAAGUUCGAGUAUCAUUUCCCUAGAGACUCAUAGGCCUAAACUUUCAUGUGAUUUCUUGAUUAUAUAAGACUUGAGUGAAUGAAAAUUAGGGUUUCAUAUGCAAAAACGAAAAUUAAAUAUGAAUGCAAAGAUUUUGAUCAAUUGACCAAAAGAUAACGCAUGUGAAUGAUGAAUGAAUGAAUUAUGUUGUUGGGGUUUAUGAUUUCAUCCUAAUCCACUCUCUUAUAUCUAAGAAUUUGACUUUUUCAUCAAUGUUAAUGCCACCUUUUAAUUUACCCUAAUCUCAAUGUCUUGUGAAAAGAGACUACUCCUAAUUACUAAUUUACUAUGUCUAGUCUCCCUAGCAAUUGAUCAUGCAUUACAUAAUUCGCACAGAAGCUUAAGGUAAUUGGUCCUCCUAUCCCUAUGUCUAGGCAAUAUUGCUACCAAGAGAAUUUCCUCAUGUCUAGACCUAACUAUAUUUGUCCAUAUAGACAGAAUCAAAGAUUAUGCUAUUGAAUAAUGUCUUAAAAAAGUAUGCAAUUAUAAUGGAGGAAAAACCCUAACAAUUAAUGAAUAAAAGCAUAUGAAUAAAGCAUCAAUUCAAUAUAUGAGAGUUUCAAAGGAUUACAUCAAUUCUCCAACAAAAAUGGAGGUUUAGUUCACCAUAAUCAUGAUGAAACUAGAUGGAAAUAAUGAAAAGAAUGAAAAGAUAAACCCUAGAUUUGAUACAUUGGAGCUCACACAUCUAAAAUCCGCCUCUAAGGGGUGAAGAGAGUGCUUUUGUGCCUCUUUCUGCCAAAAGAUACCCCUUCUGGUUCGUUUGGGUCUAUAUAUAGCAUAGAAAAAUAACAGAAUGUUGGCCUAGGCCCAAUAGUACACCGCCCAACAGUGGUUUUUACCGCCUGGCGGUAGGUGCGGCACUCAAAAUGGCCCCCAGCGCAGCCUAGGCGAAAAACAGUGAAAACAUGGUCCCGAGUCCACGCCCGACGCUCCGUGCGGCACAAAACUACACUCUGGUUGACUUUUCAGCAUUCUGGUUGAUUGAUUGACUUUUCUGAUAGACUGAUUGACUUUUCUAGUUGAUUGGUUGACUUUUCUGGAUUUUGGUUGACUUUUUUACACUAAACUCCUUGAUACUUCAACCCUUCUUUCAAAUCAUUCAAUAAACCUACAAAAUCAGGGGAAAACCAAGCAUAAAACCAAGAAAACCAACUUUGACUCUCUUAUUCUAUAACUUAAGAAAAAUGCAUGAUUUCAAGCUAAUUCUAAGUCAUAAAUGGUGUAUUUUAAUGUCAGUUUUAAGUAUAAAAAUAACAGUUUUUGAACCAUUGUCACACAUCACACCUUAUUAGACAUAUCAACUCCUAAAAGAUAACACAUUCAACUCUUAACAAAACUUUAAUCCUUAAACCCCUAUUUUUUUCGGCUCUUACAAGUUUCACCCAUUCCUGGUUGUGCAGUACUCUUCACUGUUAAGACAAGUUUAUAAGACUCAACUGUCUAAACGUCUUCAUAUGUUUUGAAGUUUAACAAAGAAAAAUAAUUGAAAUGAGCAUAUGACAUUGCUAUCAUUAGAAAAGAAACACAACUAAAAUGUAAAUGGUUUGUGAAAAUGCUUUAUACCUUAAACAUCAAUGUAUAAAUAGAUGCACAAUUAAAUGGUUUCCCUAUUUUAUGUGUCAAUGAGAGUCUUGCUGAAUGGAUUAGUGUUAUACAUUGUUAGGUGAUGAUGAAACGAACUCGACAUAUUUUGAUAGAUGAAAGUGUCAAAAUAUGUUUUUGGAAAGAAACUCAAAAGUCCUAAACGAUGAUCCAAAAACUUUUGUUGAAAGACACCUUGCUAAACGCACUGUUGAACGAAACAAAAACAACUCAAAGUAGCGUUUACAUAGGUUAGACGAUACAUUUGCCAAAGGAUCUACUUCAUCCAACGAUGAAGCUUUCAUCAACUACUUGGUAUCUUACUGAAAAGCUUAAAUGAUUAAGUCAUGUCUGAAUGGUAGGAAACGUAAAAAGCACUUUAUUGUUCUGAACAUGUGUUAAAUGCAAUUAAAUGCUCAACGUUUAAAAAUGACAAAAGUGAUAAGAGAAAUGUAUAUCUGUUGCAUGCAUAUAUACUCUUCUUUUUGUAGAUUGUUGUUACAUGAAUCCACCUUCAUCCUAUACAAAUCAGAAAUGAAGUUAGAAACAUAAAAUACAUUCACGAAAUGAUAUGCUCAUCAAAAGUUGUGCUAGAAAAAUUGUGCUGCCUACCUUUGUCAAAGUAUUGAAAAAUCAUGUUUGCCUUUACAAAUUGACUUUAACUAAUGGCUACUACAUACAACAAGACUAAGAUGACUCAAAGAUCAAAACAAAGCUCUACCUAACGAAUAUCUUUUUUAGAAGCCUUUAAAUAAAAGAUCAUUCAAAAAUAGAAUCAAGAUAAUAACAUAUAGAGAAAAGGCUCAAGAUAACAACAUUGAGAAAAAGCUUAAAGCACACAAACUUAAAAGAGAAUAUCUGAGAAAGAGAAUAAAAGCUCAAGCAAGAAAGUACUCUCAAGCUUCAUUGAUUUAUAAGUUUACUAUUAUAAGAAGAGAGAAGAGAGAAAAAUUAUACGAGUUUAUUAGAUUGAAUUGUAUUGCACACAGAUCCUCUCUGCGAGAGUUAUCGUCUAUGGGAUUGUAAUCAAUCUUUUGAUUGUAAUUUCUAAAACGAAUUCAAACACUUUACAUUUAACUUGGUGGAGUUAAACGGUAGCUAGACGAGUUUGUGUAGUGGAAACCACGAGUGAGUGAAACUCAAGUGACGUUUAACUUGGUGGAGUCAAAUGGUAGCUAAACGAGCUUGUCUAAUAGAAACCAGAAGUGGAUUAAACUCAACUAGACAACAUAUCAUAAAGAUAUUUGGAUUGUUUAGGGAUACCAAGAGUGGUUCUUAAGUCCCUGACAAGUGUACCAGAUCAUUAUCAAGUAAUAUAAAACGGGUAAGUCCGAGUAUCGUUUCCCAAAGGACUCUUAGGCCAUAACUUUCAUGUAAACAAAUCGCAUAAGACUUGAGAAAAGAAUUAAAUUUAGGUUUUGAAUGCAAGAACGAUAAUAAACAUGCAAAAUGCAGUGAAUCAAUUGGCUAGAAGAAAUUAUGGAUGAAUGGAAUUGUUGGGGUUUACAAUUUCAUCUUAUUCACCCUCUUAUAUCUACUCUUCUUAUUUAAUUCGCUUAUUUAUCAUAUUGUCAUGCAAACUUUCUUGGUCUACCCUAAACCCAAUCUCUUGGUGAAUAGAGCCUAUUACAAAUUAUUGACUUGCUAUCUCUAACCUCCCCUAGUAACUAGCAAUGCAUGAUAAACGAAAGUAAAAUACAAUUAAUCGUCAUACCCCUAUCUCUAGGCGGUAUUAGCUUAAUCAAGGAAUUCCCCCCAGUUCAUGACAUUAUUGUAUGUCUUCGUAUCAAUAAAGACAAACAACAUUUACCGAAUGAGUUAAACGAUAAAAGCAUUAAGCAAAGGUAAGGAACUCAAUAAUUGAUAAAUUAAGCAUAUGCAAGCAUAUAAAAUAAAUAAGAAUUUGGAUAUAAGAGAGUUUCAAAAGAUUACAUUGUUCCCCAACAACAAAGGGCUUAGUUCACCAUGGACAUGGUGAAACUAGAUGAAAUACAAUGAAAGAAUGGAAGAAUAAACCAUAAAUUUCGUAGAUUGGAGCCUAAGCAUCCAAGGAACCACCUCCAAGGAAUGUAGAGUUGUUGUGGACGUUUCUGUCUGCAAAAGAUUAGGUUUUGAAUUGCACUAAGGCUAUUUAUAACGCAUAAAAAUAACAGAAUUUAAGCCCAAGCCCAGCAGACAACCGCUCAGCGGUUUGCCUCUAAUCGUUCCACCGCUCGGCGGUCAAUAUCACCGUUCAACAGUUUGCCUCUAAUCGCACUGGACGCUCAGCGUUGGAUUUGGGCGUUGAGCAGUUCACUUGACUCUUCUUUUCAUCCUUUUUCUUCUUCUUUCAAGAGUCUAAGUCCACCUUGCUUCACUUCCAUCUUCAAUUCAUAUCAAAACCCUGCAAAACAAUGUAAAAACAAGCAUAAUAUCUCUAAAACCAACUUUUGACUCUCACAUGACUCAACUAAGUGUUUUACUUGAUUUUAAGCUCAUUCUAAGCCAUAAAGGGUGUGUUUUGAUAUCAAAUUUAAGCAUGAAAAUAACGGCUUUUAGACCGUUAUCAGUGGUGAAGAAUACUGCGCAACAAGAGUCGGUGAAACUCGAUUCUAGUCAGAGUAACAAUGGUUAAUUGAAGUGACUAGGUGAUACUAAGAGUUAUGAGAAUACUCAAUUGUAAUCUUGAUGUCACAAAGCAAAUUCCCAACUAUAUAUAAUUACUGAAGGACCUGUGUAAUCACAAGAGGAUGAUGAAAGGAAAUGAGGGAAAUCAACAUGGGAAGCAUUGCAUAUGCACUGAUAAGAGGUACACAUCAUUCUAACCUGCACCUGUAGGCUGCUGAUGUUCCACGGGCAUCCACAAACAAAAGCUUCAAAAUUAAUGGGCAUCAGCUGAAGAAGUUCCUCAAAACUUCCUUGCUUGAUAUAGUUUUGAAGGACAUUUCUCUUCUAGUUCAAAUUUGGCGUCUUCCACCUUGGCUUAAAGGAGUUUUCUUUUCUAGGUUGUUUUUUUUGUUUUAAGCUUGUGUCUUGUGUACAGCUUUGCAUGUUUCUCUUGAUUUUUGGAUUUUGUUUAGGUUGUAGGCUCUUCCUUCACUUGAAUUAUACUUAUCGUUUGAAAUUCUUGUUUUUCUCUACUUGGAAAGAUGAUUAUGAUGUUUGAGAGAUUGAUUUAUUGUGAUAGAAAUACCCAAUAUAAGAAUUUGAUUCGCUUGAUCUUCUUUCUUGUGUGUGAUAUAUCUCUUGAUUGCUUGCACAUAUGCCUUGACUUAACUCUUAUUGAUAAUAUUUGAUUGAUAUGCAUGUUUUGAACUGAUAAAGGAAAAUUUUGUUCUUGAGCCUCUCUAGCCAAAUAAGCCUACCUUGUUUUAAUCCUUUAAUAACCCCUUUGAGCCUAUGCUUUCCCCUUUUAUUUGUUUUGAAGCUAAUUAAUUAGCCUUAAGUGAAAAACCAUGAUUACCUUAACCUUAGGGAAUUUAGGAGCUUUUGAAUUAUUUUGGGAAUAAGUGUGGUCUUCAUGAGAUUCUUAUAAAUUGGCUAGUUGGUUUUCUUGGCUCCUUUAGUGGCUGUUGGUUAAAAAAAAAAAGAGAAAAGAAAAGAGACAAGAUAAGAAAAGAUAGAAAAAAUAAAAAAAUAAUUUUUUUAAAGUGUGGAGUUAAGAAGAGGAUUGAAUUGGAGGCUUCAGAUAUUAUUUGAUUUUAUUUUCACUUAUUCCUCAUUGCUCCUCUAUUCUUUUUGGUUUGUAGCUUCUUAUCUAUAUUUUAUCCUCCUUUGUCGUUGGCCCCAUUACAACCAUGAAAAGACCUUUUGAUUUGAACAUGCAUAUGUUUUAAGUGUUGAUAUUAGAGGUUUGCCAAUUAUAUUUGUUGUUUGCUUUCUUGAGUGCAUUGAGUUGACAUUGUUUAUCAUAGACACUUAAGAGAUACAAUGAUAGUGCAUAUGUAAGGUUCUAAUGCUUUUUAAUCACAUAUUAAACUGAUUGAUUAUUUUGUUUCCUGAGGUUGUGUCACUCUCUUGAUGUCUUUUGAAUUGUUCCUUGUUCCGCGUCUUGAUUUUUUUCAGGAGUGCAAAAGACUAAGUGUGGUCUAUUUUGAUAAAUCAUUAUUUUGUAUUAUUCACUUAGCUUUUCGCACUUAAUUUAAUUAGUGAAUUGUAUUUAACUCCAUUAUUGACUCAUUUUCCCUAUUUGGGCUUAAUUUGACUAGUAAUUCGUAUUUUAAUUAAUUUGAAUUAUAUUAGCUUAAUUAUUUCAAUUAUCAUUUGAAGAACAAUUUUGAAAUCAUAUUUUGGGACAACAAGGGUGUUGCCAUGUCAUUUACCAUUAUCCACAUGAACAUUUUAUUCUUAUUUUGUUUUUAAUGUAAUUGAGUCAAACUUUAUGGCUUUGGGCCCAUUUUUGGGCAGAUUUUGUACAAGCCCAUAUGAAGGGCAGAAUUGGAAUUAGGGGUUAAAACCCUUGAAUCAAAUUUGGAGAGCUCUCUCUUCUCAUUCUCGUUUUAGGCUUGGGCGUUUUUGUCGCUCCCACCUUUUGCAAGUUUUAGGUUUUGCUUUCAUUUCCCUCUUUAUGUAUUGAAUAAUUUUCGUUUAAUUCCAAUUUUUUUUAUCUUCUUGCUUUAGUUUCGUUUUCGUUUACAUUUCGUUUGCCUCUCUGCAUUCUCGUUUUCCAAUUUCAUUUCUCUGCACUUUGGUUUUCCCAAAUCUGUUUUUCCAAUUUCGUUUCCAGUUGAUUUUGUUUGCGUUUUUUGUUUGCUAGUUUAAUUGCAUUUUCAAUUGUGUUUCAUUUGCUGUUGUUUCAUUCCAGAAUGUUUGAUACUUCAUUUGGCUGUUUUCAUUUCGUUGUGAUGGUAGAUUAAAUCUAUUAGGUUGGUCA